UACGGAGGGUGCAAACGUUGCUCGGAAUCAUUGGGCGUAAAGCGCACGUAGGCGGCUCAGCAAGUCGGGUGUGAAAGCCCUCGGCUCAACCGAGGAAGUGCAUUCGAAACUACUGAGCUUGAAUACUGGAGAGGAUCGCGGAAUUCCCGGUCGUAGAGGUGAAAUUCGUAGAUAUCGGGAGGAACACCAGUGGCGAAGGCGGCGAUCUGGACAGAUAUUGACGCUGAGGUGCGAAAGCGUGGGGAGCAAACAGG
rnacentral:rRNA from 1 species